UUGAGCCACAUUGGUGGUAGGUCGGGAGUAUGUGCCAUCAACAAAACUGAUUUUGUUUUUGGAUGAUAAGGCAACGAUCAUUUUACGUCUCCAGCCCCCAUAACCACUACCCGAGAAGGGAGCGGGAACGAGAGAUACCCCAGGGACAUCAGAAGAAUAUACAGAAAGGGGACUGGAAGAGUCUAGAGAAGGGGAGGCACCAGUACUUGUGUUAGAAGCCAUAGUAAUGAACCAGCUUAAAUGAACAACUGUUGCUACAAACAGAAUACAACCAAAACAGGUAUUCACACACGACAACCAACAAACGGAAUACAGUCAAGUCAAGUAUUCACAGACAACACCAGAUGCUCACAAGUACACAGUCAAAUAA
rnacentral:lncRNA from 1 species